rnacentral:lncRNA from 1 species
GUUUCAAAAAUCUCGUAUUCUCCUUGGCGUCCAACAAAUCUCUAGCUUCAGAGGCUCCAUAUUGGUAACGAUUACUAUAGAUGGUGGUCCUAAAUUCCAUUUAGCUUUCACAUUUUGGCCACUUUCUUCUCUGUUCGUAGCUCUCUUUGCACUCUCAAUCGCCAUGACACACUCUUUCAAGCUCUAACCGUCAAUACUAUGCUCCAGUACUCCGAAACACCCAAAAUUGUAACAC